rnacentral:rRNA from 1 species
GAUGAACGCUGGCGGCGUGCUUAACACAUGCAAGUCGAACCAAGCACUUUAUUUGAUUUCCUUCGGGACUGAUUAUUUUGUGACUGAGUGGCGGACGGGUGAGUAACGCGUGGGUAACCUGCCUUGUACAGGGGGAUAACAGUUGGAAACGGCUGCUAAUACCGCAUAAGCGCACAGCAUCGCAUGAUGCAGUGUGAAAAACUCCGGUGGUAUAAGAUGGACCCGCGUUGGAUUAGCUAGUUGGUGAGGUAACGGCCCACCAAGGCGACGAUCCAUAGCCGACCUGAGAGGGUGACCGGCCACAUUGGGACUGAGACACGGCCCAAACUCCUACGGGAGGCAGCAGUGGGGAAUAUUGCACAAUGGGCGAAAGCCUGAUGCAGCGACGCCGCGUGAGCGAAGAAGUAUUUCGGUAUGUAAAGCUCUAUCAGCAGGGAAGAUAAUGACGGUACCUGACUAAGAAGCACCGGCUAAAUACGUG